GGCCGGGUAGCUCAGUUGGUAGAGCAGGGGAUUGAAAAUCCCCGUGUCGGCAGUUCGAUUCUGUCCCCGGCCA
rnacentral:tRNA from 2 species